GAUGAAGAACGCAGCGAAAUGCGAUAAGUAAUGCGAAUUGCAGAUUUCAGUGAGUCAUCGAAUCUUUGAACGCGCAUUGCGCCUGCCAGUAAUCUGGCGGGCAUGCCUGUUCGAGCGUCAUUUCAACCAUCAAGCCCCCGGGCUUGCGUUGGGGCCCUGCGGCUGCCGCAGGCCCCGAAAAGCAGUGGCGGGCUCGCUGUCACACCGAGCGCAGUAGCGAUUCUCGCUCCGGGCGUCGGCGGCGGGCACCGGCCGUGAAACCCCCCCACACCCACAAGGUUGACCUCGGAUCAGGUAGGAAUACCCGCUGAACUUAAGCAUAUCAAUAAGCGGAGGA
rnacentral:misc_RNA from 1 species